AUGAGAAUACAGGCAAUUAACCUGUUCACUAAUGUUCUUUUAAUGCUGGUCAUACAAGGUAUUGUCUGUGAUGAGAUCAGACUGGAUCAGUCUCCUUUUCAGGUGAAGAGACCAAGAGAGACAGUUAAGAUCUCCUGUAAAAUAUCUGGAUUCACAAUGACAAGCUACUACAUCCACUGGAUAAGACAGAAACCUGGAGGACCCCUGGAGUGGAUUGGGGGAAUGAAUCAGGGCACUGUGUAUCAGGAAGAGUCUCUGAAAGGCCAGUUCACCCUGACUGAGGACAGAUCCAUCAGCACACAGUACUUAGAGGCCAAGAGUCUGAGAGCAGAGGACACUGCUGUUUACUACUGCGCUCGAGACUCACAGUGA